UGGUGCCCCCCGGACACGGCAAGGACGGCCCGACGCAGCUACGGCAGUGAUCAGGGCCCCGCCGUAGACGGCGGCGCGCUGCCAUGCAUAGGGCUCCUGGCUGCUCCGUCGAGCAGCCUGUUCUGUGCACGCGCUCCAUCGCUCGAGCCAAUCACCGGCGGCUCGCCGGCGCCACGCGUGGUCGUCUCGUCGCUGGGAUGGCGAGGGAAGGGGAAAAGGAUGUAAAAUAGGAGGCGAUUUCCAAUUAUCCCAGCCGCACAGUCCACAUUGGACGGAAGGGAUGGACCCAGGGGGUGGACGGUAUUUGAAAUACCGUCCACCCGGUCGGUAUCUGAACUACCGUCCGCUCCCUGGGUCGCCUUCCGCCGCUCGCCAGAGCGCUGCCGCGUCUCGGCCGUCCACUUUGCCUCCCGGAGAGCCCUCCGCCGCUGCUAAAGCAUGCGUCCGCCAUGGUCUCCGGCUCUCCCUUGGCUCUGCUGAGCUUCGUGUAUGCGCGCGCCACCUCUGGCCGCGGCGCACCUGAUGCCCACGGCGUUCGCGCUCAGCGCCGUCGUGGGGUCGGCGUCGUCCUCCGCGGCGGAGGGUUCCGUUUCAGAGCGUCUUCGGAGGAGGAAUUGAGCGUGCAUACGAUGCUGCUUCUCGCCGGAGGCCGAGCCGGCGCGGCACCUCCACGAGAUGCUGCUUCUCGCCGGAGGCCGAGCCGGCGCGGCACCUCCACGAACUCUUCUUCGGCAGUGAGCGUAUUCAUCCUCCUGGCCGUCAUCUCCGGUGAAGGGGAGAUGAUCACACCUCCGUCGAAGGGGAGAUGAGAACGCCGGCGAUGUGGUCACUAGUCGCCACAGGAGAACACGCCACCGCAAGCUGCCACCAAUUUCAUCUCCUCGUCAGCUGAAUACAAGCAAGCCACACAGUUUUCCGGAAUUUUGAUAGUUCCUGAUAACAUGUUACUAACAAAUGUCCUUGCAGUUUCAUGGCUUAAUCAAAUCAUAAACUAGGUGGCAAUGUGUCAACUGGUGUGCGACUGUGAGAAUGUUUGUGAUCUCUGUAUGGUGCUUUGCAUUGAGCUGAUCCUUUGCUCGCAGGUGCAGCUAAAUGCUGACGGUUGCAUGGUCGACAAGACUGACAGAUCAAUCAUAGCCGUCAGAAACAAUAGCCGAUAUCUGAAUAUGAGAAAUUGCAUCAUCAUCAAUAUGGCUAUACAUUGUUUUUGCUAAAA